CAAUCGGUUUGCAGAACCAAAGAAUAUCUGCACAAACUGUCAGAAACCGUCUCAGGGGAGCUCAUCGGCAUGCUUGUCGUCCUCAUCAGGGUUUCGACUUGACUGCAGUUCGUCGUUGAAAUCAACCUGAGUGGAAAAAUGCUCAAA